rnacentral:rRNA from 1 species
UACGAAGGGGGCUAGCGUUGUUCGGAAUAACUGGGCGUAAAGCGCACGUAGGCGGAUUGUUAAGUCGGGGGUGAAAUCCCGGGGCUCAACCCCGGAACUGCCUUCGAUACUGGCAAUCUUGAGUCCGAGAGAGGUGAGUGGAAUUCCGAGUGUAGAGGUGAAAUUCGUAGAUAUUCGGAGGAACACCAGUGGCGAAGGCGGCUCACUGGCUCGGUACUGACGCUGAGGUGCGAAAGCGUGGGGAGCAAACAGG